UAGUGUCGAUCAUCCAUUAGCCUAGCC
rnacentral:piRNA from 1 species